GCUGAUACUAAAGGGAAUAAAAUAAAACAUAAUGAACUCACACUAAUGAUCAAACACGUCCUCAAAGCUUUCACUGAACCUUCUCAUUUUUAUAAAUACUGAAAGUACAAACACCAGUUAGACAAUAUGGUUAAAGUGACACUGCAGUCCACAUCUACAUCUAAAAUGGGUAAAGUUAGUAUUUAACUACAGCUAACUAGCUAGCAUAUAGUGUAGAGUUUCCCCUGUCCUGUAUAAUAUGAGAUUGUCCUGUACUGAAAAAGACAAAGAUCUCACAUUAAACAUUACAGAAUGUAACACUGACAUUCAAACAAUAAUUCAACAUCGUAGAAGAGGAAAUUGACCAAAUGUGUAUGAUGUAUGUAAUGAAAACUAGUGAACUAGUGAUCACUCAGACAGUAAAACCAUGUGCUCUUGAAACUUGUUUUCUUUUACUUCUUAUUUAUAGGUCAUGAGCAGCGGACUAUGGCUAGAAAUUCAAGAAGUGAUGUGACCUUAACAAACGAUCGAAUCCGGAUUAAUUAUUAUAGGAACAAAUUCACUUUAAAACAACAUCUUUAACACAUUAAUUGGAAAGGGGUGGAAAGGUUCCAGGAAAUUUUUGGAAACUUUCCACGGCAUGCACGGGAUGUCCAGCAGACAUGCAUGCAAGAAGUUCUUGUACCAGGACCACAGACAGCCAGAAGUAAGCUUUCUGAUUACAGAGUAACUCUGGAUGGUCUUUCUAUUACAUCAUGUGCAGCAGUAAAAGACCUCGGUUUCAUCCGACUUUUUCAAAAUUCUCAAAGUGUGACUUUAGCAGUGACAUCAACAGUGAGGAGGUUACCUGUGUAGAAGAGAGGACUCUUCAUCUUUAAACUUUGGAGGAACCCCCACAGACUGUUCGCUCUUCAUGGAGAUACAGCUGGGUGUUGGUGAUUCUGAUCUCUUUCCCUGGAGAUUACUGCACAUUAUACACAGUCCUUUAGUCAUUUAUAUUUUGAUUCUUUACUGUUUUUCUUAAUUUCUUAAUCUCUUCUUAAUUUAACGAAGUCUGAUUUUAAUUACAAUGAAAAGAAUCUGACAUUUUUGUGAUGACUGUUACAUUUUUAUUACUAUUAAAUUUUUUUAUUAUUAUUACUACUUUUUAAAACUUUAAUUUUAAGCUAAUAUUUUCAUAUGUACAAACUAAAUAAUUCAGACAAAUAUUUAAUGGCGUGAAUACAAGAACAUUGCAGGUUACCAGUUGUUUGAGGGUGGGGAAACGUUAUCUGUGUCCAGAUAAGGAGUCUGCAUCUUUGAAUAUUA